rnacentral:snRNA from 1 species
AUAGUUACCUGGCAGGGGAGAUUCCAUGAUCACGAGGGUGGUUUUCCCAGGGUGAAGCUUAGCCAUUGCUUGGGAGUCUUGAGCAAACCAUGGACCUCUCCUUCAUCGACAGAGUGAUGACUUGAGUAGAUGAUCUCUCAUUUCUCCUC